rnacentral:rRNA from 1 species
UUAGUGGAAGCGUCUGGAAAGGCGCGCGAUACAGGGUGACAGCCCCGUACACAAAAGCGCAUGUGCUGUGAGCUCGAUGAGUAGGGCGGGACACGUGGUAUCCUGUCUGAAUAUGGGGGGACCAUCCUCCAAGGCUAAAUACUCCUGACUGACCGAUAGUGAACCAGUACCGUGAGGGAAAGGCGAAAAGAACCCCGGCGAGGGGAGUGAAAAAGAACCUGAAACCGUGUACGUACAAGCAGUGGGAGCCCCACCACCAAAGCAUUCUCUGGUGUUGAAGGCCCUGCAAAGCAGCAUCGCGGUGGCGGAGCGUCGUUUGCGACGCCCAACACACAAAACAAGCGGUGAGUGCUUUGGGGUGGGGUGACUGCGUACCUUUUGUAUAAUGGGUCAGCGACUUAUAUUCUGUAGCAAGGUUAACCGAAUAGGGGAGCCGGAGGGAAACCGAGUCUUAAUUGGGCGUUAAGUUGCAGGGUAUAGACCCGAAACCCGGUGAUCUAGCCAUGGGCAGGUUGAAGGUUGGGUAACACUAACUGGAGGACCGAACCGACUAAUGUUGAAAAAUUAGCGGAUGACCUGUGGCUGGGGGUGAAAGGCCAAUCAAACCGGGAGAUAGCUGGUUCUCCCCGAAAGCUAUUUAGGUAGCGCCUCGUGAACUCAUCUCCGGGGGUAGAGCACUGUUUCGGCUAGGGGGCCAUCCCGGCUUACCAACCCGAUGCAAACUGCGAAUACCGGAGAAUGUUAUCACGGGAGACACACGGCGGGUGCUAACGUCCGUCGUGAAGAGGGAAACAACCCAGACCGCCAGCUAAGGUCCCAAAGUCAUGGUUAAGUGGGAAACGAUGUGGGAAGGCCCAGACAGCCAGGAUGUUGGCUUAGAAGCAGCCAUCAUUUAAAGAAAGCGUA